ACGGGUGAGUAACACGUGGAUAACCUACCUAUAAGACUGGGAUAACUUCGGGAAACCGGAGCUAAUACCGGAUAAUAUAUUGAACCGCAUGGUUCAAUAGUGAAAGACGGUUUUGCUGUCACUUAUAGAUGGAUCCGCGCCGCAUUAGCUAGUUGGUAAGGUAACGGCUUACCAAGGCAACGAUGCGUAGCCGACCUGAGAGGGUGAUCGGCCACACUGGAACUGAGACACGGUCCAGACUCCUACGGGAGGCAGCAGUAGGGAAUCUUCCGCAAUGGGCGAAAGCCUGACGGAGCAACGCCGCGUGAGUGAUGAAGGUCUUCGGAUCGUAAAACUCUGUUAUUAGGGAAGAACAAAUGUGUAAGUAACUAUGCACGUCUUGACGGUACCUAAUCAGAAAGCCACGGCUAACUACGUGCCAGCAGCCGCGGUAAUACGUAGGUGGCAAGCGUUAUCCGGAAUUAUUGGGCGUAAAGCGCGCGUAGGCGGUUUUUUAAGUCUGAUGUGAAAGCCCACGGCUCAACCGUGGAGGGUCAUUGGAAACUGGAAAACUUGAGUGCAGAAGAGGAAAGUGGAAU
rnacentral:rRNA from 1 species